CCUACAUUCAACCCCUAGGGGUAUUUAUACACUUUCCUACUGGACCGGGCCUUCUUUCACUGGUCAAGUGGGCUUGCUGGGUCUGGUCUGAUGGACCAGGGGUAUCAUCAGUACUCCCCCCUUCCGCAGCCUGUAAAUUCUUCUUUUUUUUUCUUUACUUUUCUGAAUUCAACAUGUCUUCGCCCUAUGUUAUUGGAGGAGCUUGGCCGCAACCUAGUACACCAACAAGCUUCUUGGUCCGAAAGUCUUAUUCUCCACAGGGAAAAAGCUCGCGCCCUUGCUGUUGCCGAGAGAUACCGCCUUAACUCUUUGCUUCUAGCUGUUCAAUGUCGCCUUUUUUGUUCUUUGUCAAGUUGAAAAUGAUGUUGUGGUUGAGUUCCAUGUCGCUCCGGGUGGUAUCCAUGUAACUCCUGCCGUUGAUCCUGUCUCUGACGACCGCUCUGUUGUUCCUUCUAUUGUUCGACGCUGCCGAGGACGCAGACAGCAUGCUGAUCAUGCGUUCUCUGCCCCCCCUCCGGGUGGUAUUAUGAG
rnacentral:lncRNA from 1 species